AGGAAGGGAAGUGUGGAAACUGGUUUGUCAAGGGCCACCCAGUGUGGGCUCAGGAAGAGAAGGAAUGUGACUGAGGCUGGGUGUGGCAGAGGAGAGCACAGCCAGUUGUGGGUUUUUCUUGGGGCCCAGAUAGAUGGGAACAGAGGUGGAGGCCCCUCUCUCCCAGCACCCCCCCAGCACACACACUAGGACCUUUCUUCA
rfam:Tupaia belangeri cont1.120033, whole genome shotgun sequence.